rnacentral:lncRNA from 10 species
GAAACAUUACCGAGGUCUCAUCUAGUUUUCUCUACUGCCUUCCAAGGUUUCUACUGUACAAUUUCUCAUUGAAAACUGCCUCAGCAUUUUUUAAGAAGACAUCACUUCCCCCUUGGGGAAGAAAGAACUCAAUGACUUGAAGAAACUGAUGCUUCAGGGAAUGCCCCAAACCCAGUGAUGCAGGACCCAGGACUCCAUCUGCUCAUUCUUCAUAAGGUUGGCUCACAGGUCAUCUGCUGAGAAGGUCAUCUUCUCCGUCUUCACUGGGCUCACUGAAUGAGGACAUUCCAAGAUCCCAGCUCAUCUCAUUUGAGCUUUCCUUUUCCUAAUCCCAUGCAUCUGUGUUUGAGAAAAUCUUC